UACAGAGGUCUCAAGCGUUGUUCGGAUUCAUUGGGCGUAAAGGGCUCGUAGGCGGUUUGUCGCGUCGGGAGUGAAAACACGGGGCUUAACCCCGUGCCUGCUUCCGAUACGGGCAGACUAGAGGUAUGCAGGGGAGAACGGAAUUCCUGGUGUAGCGGUGAAAUGCGCAGAUAUCAGGAAGAACACCCGUGGCGAAGGCGGUUCUCUGGGACGGUACUGACGCUGAGACGCGAAAGCGUGGGGAGCGAACAGG
rnacentral:rRNA from 1 species